AUUGAACGCUGGCGGCAGGCCUAACACAUGCAAGUCGAACGAGUGGCGGACGGGUGAGUAAUGUCUGGGAAACUGCCUGAUGGAGGGGGAUAACUACUGGAAACGGUAGCUAAUACCGCAUACCAUCGGAUGUGCCCAGAUGGGAUUAGCUAGUAGGUGGGGUAACGGCUCACCUAGGCGACGAUCCCUAGCUGGUCUGAGAGGAUGACAGGCAAAACGGUAACGGAGACACGGUCCAGACUCCUACGUGAGGCAGCAGUGGGGAAUAUUGCACAAUGGGCGCAAGCCUGAUGCAGCCAUGCCGCGUGUAUGAAGAAGGCCUUCGGGUUGUAAAGUACUUUCAGCGGGGAGGCGUUACCCGCAGAAGAAGCACCGGCUAACUCCGUGCCAGCAGCCGCGGUAAUAC
rnacentral:rRNA from 1 species